CGUUGUGAGAAAAAAUAUAUAUAUAUAUCGAAAAUUCCCUCUACUCUUCGUGUUAGAAAAAUUCUAGCCGUUUCUCGUUUGAUUCCGUUCUACUUUUCCUGUGUCGGGGCUUCCGUUUUUCCCCAAAGAAUUCACUUCCCGUCCAGCUUAAGCAGGCGCUUUGAAGCCAACAUCCGUCGAAGGGGAACUUUCAGUUGUGCCAAAAGAGGGGAACUUUCUGUGGGUGAUGGUUUGGAUCAUUGAUUGGUUCUUGAUGAGAGAUUGGAUGGUGGUGAAGGAACGAUGAGCGGCGGUGGCGGCGAGCCCGCUGCUGGGUUCGAUUCCAACUCCGUCGAGGAGAGAAUGAAUGUUUCAGGUGACUGUAGACGCACCUCCGGUCGCUGGAAGAACAUACGUCGUUGGGAACAGUUUACUAUGGGAUUUGAGCUACAGGGCGUUGGGAAGAUCCUGAAGAUUUGUAAUGUUUUGGCUGACGACAAAAAGCCUUCCUCUCAAUCAUCUCGUCGUUAUUUGCUCGCUUUAGCCAAUGGAAUCGCUGCUCUGUUUUGCCGUCUGGCUUAGCACCUUUUUGUUGAUCUCUCCCCACUCUCUGUAUCUGUAACCUCUUUUACCCUCUGCAACUCUUGCUAAGUUGUAAAUUCUUGCUCUGAUUUUGAUUUUGAAUGUUCUUUUUCCUCUCUCUCUCUCUCUCUCGCUCG